CCGCGUUCGGCAGCGUUCGACAUCUGUCUCUCUCCUACUUGAGUGAGCGAUGCAUCCGCGUGGACAGCUGCUAUACAAUAAUACAUUUACAUGUUUUCGUCAAGUAUGAAGUUCAGUGAAAAGUGAAUGUGGUGUCAAUUGUUUAUAGCAACGAUAAUUGCGAUAAUUGAAAAAUGAAACCAUUCCAUCGGUAUUUUCUUAGGACGUGGACACGUUCAACUAUCGUCAGUAAACCGAUUUUAUAGACAACCGAUUUUUUUAUUAUUAGAUAGAGUGAUUGAAGAGGAAGGUUUAUUAUAUGUUUAAUAACAUCCAUUAAAUAGUAGAGAAAUCACAGUUUCCGAAUCGAAACGAGGGCGGCAGCUGUAUCACGUAUUUCGCAGACAAUUAGCAGAAGACAAAUAUUGUGCAAAUAUUGCUGUCAACUGUCCAUUUCGUAUUACGGACUUACAACAAAAAAGCAGAUCGCGGACCAUCACUAGUGCUGCCUCUGCAGAGCGAUUUGUGAAACUUUAGUGCAUUCUUUUCCAUACAACUAACAACAACUGGCCUAAAGUCGGUAUUACGGAUGCUUUUGUCUGCCACACAACAGCAGAUAUUUAGCAAUUUCGUUUGUCAAAUUUGCGACACCUUUUGUAUCUGGUGCUGAAUUGUUGCUAUCUGCAAGUGUAAAAUUUGUGAAAUUAAAUUAUUUUAACUUGAUUUAGGUAAGUGUAAUUGGUUUAGAUCUUUAUUUGUGUUUGUGUUUUCCAUAGUAUUAACAUUAAAUACCACGCUGGGCAAUUUAAGUACAUUAAUAAUGUUGAGGUUAUAAAGUUUAUUUUUUACAAAUUAAUAUUUCUUCUAGGUAUGUACUAUGGACAGAGCUCAAAUAAUAAAUGGGGCUUUGGAGUCUAAGGAACUUAGGUCGGAUACAUACGAAUCAGUGCGUUUGCGACGCUGUCUUCGUGAUCAAGCCUGACCCCUUAAUCUAUCGGAAAGUUUGUUCAGAACACAUUACAGAAUUUCGAAACAUCAAUAUUUACAAUUGUGCUCUGAAUUAAAGCCGUUAAUAACCUAGAUCAUCAAGACGAACAAGAAUAGAAAGUAAAAUGCAAGGUGUUAACAGCAUUGCAAAAUUUCAUACCAGAAACCUGUGGGAAUGAGCUUUUUGCAUUUUGAGUUAAACUGUAGUAAAUCCAAUGCCAUUAGGGAAGUGGCUAUGGCAUUAAACAAUCUUCCAGUUUUAUUGAAACAUUUAAAGUUUCUGCAAACAGUACAAUGGGUCACAAGUUAUUAAAAAUGGGUUUUACAAUAAAUUUGGCUUUCCUGGGGUUUUGGGGUGUAUAGAUGGCACUCAUUUGCACUUAUCAGAUCUUCUGUAUAUGAAGAAAGGUUUUAGAACCGCAAGCAUUAUCAUUUCAAGAAUGUGCAAAUAAUCUGUGAUAGUGAUCUUAACAUUUUAAGUAUUGAUGCAACAUUUCAUGAUACAAUUGUCUGGCUUAUCACAACUGAAUAUGCCUAUGCAGGACCUGCACCAUAAUAGUGAAAAAGUUUGGUUUUUAGGCAAGUAAAACAUCAUGAGCUCUGUCUCAGUAACCUGACUACAAAAAUACUCAAUCUAAAAGUAUAUUUAAAACUGGGAAGGCCGUUAAUAUAUAGUACUACAGUAAUGUUUAUUGUCAUACCAGGAACACUGUUGACCAUUGUGAGUAUUGAAAGCCAGUUGGAGAUGCUUGUUGGUACAUAGAGUACUGCAUUAUGAUCAUUAUAUGAUGGCCAAGACCAUAAUUGUUAGCUUGUAUUGCAUAACAUGGCAAACACACAUGGGUUUCCAGUGCCCCAACUCUCUGACGAAGAUGCUGAAAUUGAUGUUUCUUAUCAAAUUCAUAACAUUGUAUUUUUUGGGAGAGAAGAGGAAACACAGCACUUAGCACCAUGUCAACAUUUAAGGGUGGUUCAAUUGGAUUGUGGAGAACAGACAUUAAAUUUAGUCCAACCUCUAUAUUCUAGUAAUUUUAUGUAGAUAUUUUUAAAACUGCUGUUCUUAAUUAUGUGAACUGAGAGGGCAAGAAUAGCCUAAUUAUUUCUGCUUAUAAUUUUUUAAUUGUGAUUAGUGGAAAUAUACAUAUUUCCUUAACAUUUUUUUGUUUAUAGUAAAGGAUGGAUUCAUAACUAUUUGAAAGCAAAAUUGUGAGGUUGUUUUAUAUCUGUCGUGCUCAAUUUGUUCUGUAUCAUUUUAUCUUUAUGUUAACCCCGUUUGUAUGUUGUGUUGUUAUAUAUAUUAUUGUAUAUACUGCUGUUUUAAAUAAUAGAAUAGAAUGAAUAACAAAUCGACUAGUAAUUCAUAAUUCUUCUAGAUUUUGUUGGAUACUUACAUGAAUAUUACUUACAAAAUGAAAAACAUAAUUCAUAAUUUAGACAAAAUGUGGAUCAACCACCACUGAUUUUUGUUCAUUGUGAUAAUAAUAAUAAUAUAAAUAUAAAUAUUUAACUGGUCCUGUGAUAAGUUCGUAAAGAACUUGUGUUACAGGUACCAGAUAACGGAAAUAAAUGUAAGAUUUUUAUUAUACACAUACAUAUAUUUAAUAUACAUCCAUAACCCUGGAAAAGACAUUUAUAUUUAUCAUACAAAUAUCUUCCCUGGGCGGGAUUCGAACCCGCGACCCCCUUGUGUAGCGACCGUGUCACUUACCACUACACCAGACGGCCGUUAGAUAAGUUUGGUAAUUAUUAUUUUUGUGUAAUUUUGUUUUAUUUGAAUAAUAAUUCUUAAAUGAGGAAA